rnacentral:rRNA from 1 species
CCUACGGGGGGCAGCAGUGGGGAAUAUUGCACAAUGGGGGAAACCCUGAUGCAGCGACGCCGCGUGGGUGAAGAAGUAUUUCGGUAUGUAAAGCCCUAUCAGCAGGGAAGAUAAUGACGGUACCUGACUAAGAAGCCCCGGCUAACUACGUGCCAGCAGCCGCGGUAAUACGUAGGGGGCAAGCGUUAUCCGGAUUUACUGGGUGUAAAGGGAGCGUAGACGGCGUGACAAGUCUGGUGUGAAAUGCCGGGGCUCAACCCCGGGACUGCAUUGGAAACUGUGAGGCUGGAGUGCCGGAGGGGUAAGCGGAAUUCCUAGUGUAGCGGUGAAAUGCGUAGAUAUUAGGAGGAACACCGGUGGCGAAGGCGGCUUGCUGGACGGUAACUGACGUUGAGGCUCGAAAGCGUGGGGAGUAAACAGGAUUAGAUACCCGUGUAGUC